rnacentral:ribozyme from 16 species
AAAAAUCUAUGAAUACUAUUUUUUUUUUUUUUUUUGGUUUAAUCUUUUCGGGUUAAAAUGUUAAUACGGCUAU